AUUGAACGCUGGCGGCAGGCCUAACACAUGCAAGUCGAGCGGUUGAAGGGCGCUUGCUCCUGGUUUGAGCGGGGGGCGGGUGAGUAAUGCCUAGGAGUGUGCCCGGUCGUGGGGGAUAACGUCAGGAAAUGGGCGCUUAUACCACAUACGUUCUGCGGGGGAAAGCGGGGGAUCUUCGGACUGCACGCUCUCAGACGUGCCUAGGUCGGGUUAGCUAGUUGGUGGGGUAAGGGCCUACCAAGGCGACGAUCCGUAACUGGUCUGAGAGGAUGAUCAGUCACACUGGAACUGAGACACGGUCCAGACUCCUACGGUAGGCAGCAGUGGGGAAUAUUGGACAAUGGGCGAAAGCCUGAUCCAGCCAUGCCGCGUGUGGGAAGAAGGUCUUCGGAUUGUAAAGCACUUUUAGUUGGGAGGAAGGGCAGUAAGUUAAUACCUGGCUGUAUUGACGUUACCUGCAGAAUAAGCACCGGCUAACUACGUG
rnacentral:rRNA from 1 species